rnacentral:rRNA from 1 species
UACGUAGGGGGCAAGCGUUAUCCGGAUUUACUGGGUGUAAAGGGAGCGUAGACGGAUGGACAAGUCUGAUGUGAAAGGCUGGGGCUCAACCCCGGAACUGCAUUGGAAACUGCCCGUCUUGAGUGCCGGAGAGGUAAGCGGAAUUCCUAGUGUAGCGGUGAAAUGCGUAGAUAUUAGGAGGAACACCAGUGGCGAAGGCGGCUUACUGGACGGUAACUGACGUUGAGGCUCGAAAGCGUGGGGAGCAAACAGG